CCACUACUUCUCCGAUGUGCCCGGCAAACCCUGCUGGGAGGUGCGGGUGGGACCCGCAGAGGCAGGCUGUGAUGACGCCGAGUGGGGCCGGGGCGCCGACGGAGGUCAGCCCUGGGCCGCCGCCAGCAGCCCAACCUGCCGGUGGACACGCCCCUCAGGGUCUGGUGGGGCAGCGCCUGCUGUGGGGAUCUGGGCCAGCCUAAGGCUAUUUGGAGCAGAGGCUCAGGCCGGUCAGGUCUGGGCUCCAGACCCCUGGCCUUUCCUCCUGGCAGGCCCCCGGGCAAGCUGGCUCGUGAGCUGGGCCUCACCUCCUCCCUGCCGAGUCAGGGGUGCAUAUUGUGAUGCUGGGGGUCCAAAGAGGUGUGCCCACCCUGAAGCAGUCACUGGACCUGCAGGACCUGCACGAUGGUGGAGGGCCGGUGUUGCGGUGCCUUCCAGGAUCCUGGGGGGCACAGGGAGGGGGCAGGCAGGAGCCCCCGAGGCAGCCUCGCAUCAGCCUCCUGAGCCCGCGAAGGCUGCCUGUCCCGCUGGCUGGUCCCUGGGGCUUGUUUAAGGCAGCUGGGGUGCGGAUUGACAAGGCAGGUGACGUGGGGGUCCCUGGGCCCUGAUCCAGAGAGAGAAAGUCACCCUGAGCUCCGAGGUCUCCCCCGGAGCGGGAGGGAGGAUGCCCAGGGGGCCCUGGGAAGCAGGGCACAGGGCUCAGCGACAGGGUGGCAACUGGCAAGGGGUGGCGGAUGGCAGGUGGGGAGUGGCGACUACUUGGGCCAACGGUCAUGGAAGCUGCUGGAAAAACUGGUUUGGGGGAUUAGGUUUCCUGUCGGGCCUGGUGGCGCUGCGGGAUCCAGGGAUGUCGGGCCGACUGGGAGUGGAGGUCUGGGCGUGAGGGCGCUGGGCAGCGGGCUCCCCGCAUGUGGGGCUGGAGGGGGCCCUGUACCCCCGAUCCGCCUCCAUGAGGCACCUCAGGCUUUUAUGUGACUGUGUGCCCUGGUGGCAGGGCUAGACACUGGAGCAGAGGCGGCAGCUGGUCCUGUUCUGUGGGAAGGAGGCCUUUGCCCCGGCAGGGCUGCCCACGAGGAUGCAAGCUGCCUCUCCUGGGGCGUCCUAGCAGAAACAUCAACCCCAGAUACACUUUACUUGUGGGAGAAAGUGGGUGAUUCCAAUGACAGGAGCUCUCAGAGAACUGGGAGUUAUCAGGACGGUGCAGUCUGGGAGGGCUUCCUGCAGGCAAUGCUCUGGCCACCACGGUCUUAGAGGCCGGGUUCAGGGGACAGAGGAGCCCUGAAACUCGUCCCCUACCAACCCCUUUCACUGGUGAGGAAAUAAGGGCCAGAGAGGACCAGGCUGGCACCAGAUCAUCCGGGAGUGGGGCAGAAACUGGCACUUGUUUCUGUCACCACUGACCCCUCCUUCCCUCCCCCCUCACAUGCUGGAGAGAGCAGCUGCUUUCCAGAACCCGAGCCCUCCUAUCAGCCUGGGUCCCUAGACCUGACUGUACCAGCAGGCGUGACGCCCAGGAGAUGCCUUGGAGGGAAUACUACCCACUACACCCACCCGCUAGCCCUGCCUGCUCCCUGAACUCAGCUGUCCAGGAAGCCAGACGCCAAGACAAGCCCAGGCCUCUGCCUGCAGCUGAGGUUCUCCUGCCCGGGCCCUCUCCCUGCACCUUGCCUUCCUGCCCUCUCCCGCUGGUCUCAGCCUGGGCAUGGGCGAGGGGCCAGGGCCACCGGGCUUACGCGGAGCAGGAGUGUGGCCCAGAGAGGGAAGCGCCCGGCUCAGCGUGGCAGAGCAGCCGCCCCAGGCCUGCCCCGGGCUGAGGACGGGCGCCUCCAAACCUCAGGCCGGGACAGGCUUCUUCAGCUCAGGUCACCAUAAGGGCAGCCCCGGCCCCGGCUACACCCCCAAACUUCCCUCCACCUCAAGGCGCCCCAUUCACCCCCUCCUUCAUUCCUUCAACAGAGCUUGAGAAGGACUCAGCUCGUGCCAGGCACAGAGGGUGUAACAGAGACUGAGCGAGGAGAGACAGGGCCCAGGCUUCAGGGCCCCCCGACUAGCUGGGGAGAUGUCGAGGGGGUGGACAUGUGAUGCUGUGUGUGUACCCGACCUGGAGUGAGGUGACUUCCCCUGAGUCAGGCAGCGGAGCGAUGCAGGGUCUCCCUUGGGCCUGCUCUGUUCCUACCGAAAAUCCAGGGAUUAGCCACGUGGGCAGUCCUUCCCUGCCUCGAAGCAGAGCCUGUUGCCAGGAGUGGCUGGGCAGGAGCCCUAGGGCCAGAAGAGACCAACCCCCCCGAGAGAGGCCUCACAGGACCCCUGCUCACAGCAGCUCCGAGGACCAGCACAGGGCACCUCUCCACGGAGCCCCACGUGGGCCCUGACUGUCAGCUCCUCUGGCUGUGUCCCUGAGAGGACACUGGGACUUGGGGAUCUGGGUGAUGAGGGCGAAGCCCUCAGGUGUGGGCUGCGUCCUUCCGUGAAGGCAUGGGUAUAGGUUCUGGGGUAGUGACCUCGGGGCCCUUCUCACUUUCCACCCCCACUUCUCUGCCCUCACUUGCUCCCGACGCCUACCCACCCAUCCACCCAUCUAUCCAUCAUGCAUGCAUGCAUCCGUCCACCUAUCCGUCCAUGUAUCCAUCCACCCAUCCAUUAUCCAUCCAUCCAUCCUCCCCAUCCGUCUAGCCACUCACCUACCUAUCCAUCCAUGUAUCCACCCAUCCUAUUAUCCAUGCAUUCAUCCAUCUUCCAUCCGUCUAUCAAUCUAUCCAUCUGUCCAUCCAUCCAUUCAUCCAUCCACCAUCUACCCAUCUACUCAUUCCACUUACACGUCCUCUAGGAAAUAAUUACAAUGAUGUUUCUCUAUCUCCUCUCUCCUCUUCCCUUUCUCAUUUACACACACACCUACCCCUGACAGGAGAAAACAGUAAUUCUCAAAGACCACGGAGUGAAACCUGGUGGGGCUCGGAGAGCCUUAGGUCUGCAGGUGGUUGGCAGGCAGCUCUGGAACUUGCAACACCUGACAUGCAGACACUCCGUUUUUAUUUAAGAUUAUGUUAACUGGCGAGGAGAAGGGGGCUUUGG